rnacentral:misc_RNA from 1 species
GUGCGACAAUUUCGAGCCCUCCGCCACCAAGAUGGUGGUGACCGAGGCCGACAUCGAGCGGCGCAUCGUCAAGGAGAUCAACGCGGAGCCGGCGGCCGAGGAAUACUCCCGCGCGGUCGGCAUCANNGACACCAAGCUCGAUAUGUUCUCGUUCGCGUCGCACCCGGUGCUGGUUCGCGCCGGCGGCGCCUAUUACGCGCGCUCGAUCCAGCAGGUGAACCCGGAUGGGUCGC